rnacentral:rRNA from 1 species
AGAGUUUGAUCMUGGCUCAGAACAAACGCUGGCGGCGUGCCUAACACAUGCAAGUCGUACGWGAAAGGGUCCUUCGGGAYCUGAGUAAAGUGGCGCACGGGUGAGUAACGCGUGGAUAAUCUGCCCCUCAGYCGGGAAUAACUCAUCGAAAGGUGGGCUAAUACCCGAUAAYGCUGCAUCYACCUCGGUGGAUCAGCCAAAGAGAGCCUCUGUUUACAUGCCCUCACUGAAGGAUGAGUCCGCGUACCAUUAGCUWGUUGGUGGGGUAAURGCCUACCAAGGCGACGAUGGUUAGCUGGUCUGAGAGGAUGAUCAGCCACACUGGAACUGAGACACGGUCCAGACUCCUACGGGAGGCAGCAGUGAGGAAUCUUGCGCAAUGGGGGMAACCCUGACGCAGCAACGCCGCGUGAGUGAGGAAGGUUUUCGGAUCGUAAAGCUCUGUCGGGUGGAAAGAAAYGCAUGGGGRUYAAUACCCCUCAUGCUUGACGGUACCACCAGAGGAAGCACCGGCURACUCCGUGCCAGCAGCCGCGGUAAUACGGGGGGUGCAAGCGUUGUUCGGAAUUAUUGGGCGUAAAGAGCGUGUAGGCGGCUUGGYAAGUCAGAUGUGAAAUCCCUGGGCUUAACCCAGGAAGUGCAUUUGAAACUGCCAGGCUUGAGUAGGGGAGAGGGAAGUGGAAUUCCUGGUGUAGAGGUGAAAUUCGUAGAUAUCAGGAGGAACACCGGCGGCGAAGGCGACUUCCUGGCCCUAUACUGACGCUGAGACGCGAGAGCGUGGGUAGCAAACAGGAUUAGAUACCCUGGUAGUCC